rnacentral:rRNA from 1 species
AUGGAGCACCAGGGGCACGGCGCAGGCGAGAAGAAGGGCGUCAUGGAAAGCAUCACGGAGAAGCUCCCCCGUGGCCAUGGUGAUCACCAGCAGGCCACCGGUGGCACGUACGGGCAGCAAGGACACACCGGAGUUACCGGCACAGGCACCGGCACCGGCGAGAAGAAGGGCGUCGUCGAGAACAUCAAGGAGAAGCUUCCCGGUGGGCACGGUGACCACCAGCACACCACUGGAAUGAGCGGCUCGAAGACGCAUGCCACCACAGCCACCACCGAUGGCAACUACGGGAAGUCGGGACACACCGGCACUGACAGCACCGGUGAGAACAAGAGCAUGAUGGACAAGAUCAAGGACAAGCUGCCUGGACAGCACUAA